rnacentral:rRNA from 1 species
GGUGGGGAUGACGUCAAGUCCUCAUGGCCUUUAUGACCAGGGCUACACACGUACUACAAUGGCCGGUACAAAGGGCAGCGACACAGCGAUGUGAAGCCAAUCCCGAAAAGCCGGUCUCAGUCCGGAUUGGAGUCUGCAACUCGACUCCAUGAAGUUGGAAUCGCUAGUAAUCGCGGAUCAGCACGCCCGCGGUUCCGAAUACGUUCCGGCCUU